AGCAUAUCAUUUAGUAUGUAUCUUAUACAUAUUUUAUUAAUAAAAGGCAUUUUCACUUUUCCGUUUACAUAAUAUAUUUAUGUGUAAUAGAAAAGGUCCACUGAUAUUUUGUUAGAAAUUCUAUUAAGUUGUUAAGAAUAUGAGUGAUAGUAUUUCUAGUACAAAGUAUCAUAAAUAGGUUCACAAUCGAGGAUACUUCAUAAUAAGGACAUGACUUAUCCAGAAAGAUUGUAUUCAUGUUUGUUCCCAAGUUAUUUAUAUGAGAUAAAUAAGAUGGAAUGGUAAGUCUCAUACCAUAUGACAAAUAUGAUAGGCACUUAUACAUAAUAAGUAGGUCGAACCAGUGACAUUUAUGACAAGCACAUUGAGUUUACUCUUGUCAAUGUAUUGUCAUAAAUCAUAUUAGUGUAUAUAAUCUUUAGACCUGAGAUA
rnacentral:misc_RNA from 1 species